rnacentral:rRNA from 1 species
UACGGGGGGGGCAAGCGUUGUUCGGAAUUACUGGGCGUAAAGGGCUCGUAGGCGGCCAACUAAGUCAGACGUGAAAUCCCUCAGCUUAACUGGGGGAACUGCGUCUGAUACUGGAUGGCUUGAGUUUGGGAGAGGGAUGCGGAAUUCCAGGUGUAGCGGUGAAAUGCGUAGAUAUCUGGAGGAACACCGGUGGCGAAGGCGGCAUCCUGGACCAAUACUGACACUGAGGAGCGAAAGCCAGGGGAGCAAACGGG